rnacentral:lncRNA from 10 species
GUCUCUCCAUAAUGUAGCAGGUGAGGUAUCACCUGGAGUUCUUCGUCUCAUGACCAAGAAAAUUAAGGAGCGUGGAUGCAAAGGAUGAAGUUGCAGCGAAAGUUUAAUAAGCAAAAGAAGAAAGCUCUCCACAGUGGAGAGGGGACCUGGAGGAGGGUUGCUGCUUUUACAGGGGGUGACCUUUAUCUUCAUGGCCCAGUGUGACUGCAAGAGCUCUAGCAUCCAAGUUCCCAGCAGAAGGAUGGAGGACUGGCUGGAAAAACAAGGAGACACAGGGUAUGCAUCAGAGUCCCCUCUUGUUGCCCAGGCUGGAGUGCAGCAGCAUGAUUACAGCUCACAUCAGCCUCGACCUCCCGGGCUCAAGCUAUCCUCCUACCUCAGCCUCCCAAGUAGCUGGGACUAUAGGAUCUUUCUGCUGAUGCAGCUGUUAAGAGUGUUUCAUAAACUGUGACAACACUAAGCAAAAUCAUAGAAGGAAACUCUAUGGACAAUUUCAGAUGGAGAAGAAGAAAGGACUGGAAGUUCAAUUUGGCCAUGACAAUUAGACUUGAAGAAGCUGAGUGAGAAGGCCAUGCAGAUAUCUUGGAGAAGUGCAUUCCAGGCAGAGGAAAAGCCAGUGCAGAGACACUGAAGCAGGGCAUGACUGAUGUGUAUAAGGAGCAUCAUAUACAUGAUCAUCUACAGUCCACUGAGGAGAAUAGCAGACGAG